rnacentral:rRNA from 1 species
AUACGUAGGUGGCAAGCGUUGUCCGGAUUUAUUGGGCGUAAAGCGCGCGCAGGCGGUCUUUUAAGUCUGAUGUGAAAUCUUACAGCUUAACUGUAAGCGGUCAUUGGAAACUGGGAGACUUGAGUGCAGAAGAGGAGAGUGGAAUUCCAUGUGUAGCGGUGAAAUGCGUAGAGAUAUGGAGGAACACCAGUGGCGAAGGCGACUCUCUGGUCUGCAACUGACGCUGAGGCGCGAAAGCGUGGGGAUCAAACAGGAUUAGAUACCCUGGUAGUCCACGCCGUAAACGAUGAGUGCUAGGUGUUAGGGGUUUCCGCCCUUUAGUGCUGCAGCAAACGCAUUAAGCACUCCGCCUGGUGAGUACGGCCGCAAGGCUGAA